AUGGGAGUGAUAUGGCCACAAGACAAGGAAUACCAAAGCCAUCAGAAGCUGGAAGAGCUCCAACAUAUGAAGAGCUUGGAAGUCGUCGCUCCAUCUUUACAACAAGGAAAAAGCUGAACAAACUGAAGAUCGGUGAUUUUUCUUAGACUCAUCAGAGAAUUGAGGUCACAGGGCAAGUCACUGCCCCCCAAACUGUAGAGGCAGAUGAGCAUAGAGAAUAAUAGUCCAGAUCAGCUUACUUGGAACAGAAGCCACUGGAGCCAAUAACUGAGAUCUUCUGGACCAGAAGUAACGCAGGGUUACAAUGAGUGAAGCAUACUUGAAUCUCCUAAGCUACAUCAUUGGUCAGGUAAUUCUUUCCCUUCAGCAUUUACUAAGUACCUUGA